rnacentral:rRNA from 2 species
AUCGAUGGGAGCUUGCUCCCUGAGAUUAGCGGCGGACGGGUGAGUAACACGUGGGCAACCUGCCUAUAAGACUGGGAUAACUUCGGGAAACCGGAGCUAAUACCGGAUACGUUCUUUUCUCGCAUGAGAGAAGAUGGAAAGACGGUUUCGGCUGGCCCUUAUAGAUGGGCCCCCGGCGCCUUAACUAGUUGGGGAGGUAAUGGCUCACCAAGGGGACGAUGCGUAGCCGACCUGAGAGGGGGAUCGGCCACCCUGGGACUGAAACACGGCCCAAACUCCUACGGGAGGGAGCAGUAGGGAAUCUUCCGCAAUGGACGAAAGUCUGACGGAACAACCCCCCGUGAACCAAAAAGGCCUUCGGGUCGUAAAGUUCUGUUGUUAGGGAAAAACAAGUACCAAAAUAACUGCUGGUACCUUGACGGUACCUAACCAAAAAGCCACGGCUAACUACCUGCCCGCCGCCGCGGUAAUACCUAGGUGGCAAGCGUUGUCCGGAAUUAUUGGGCGUAAAGCGCGCGCAGGUGGUUCCUUAAGUCUGAUGUGAAAGCCCACGGCUCAACCGUGGAAGGGCAUUGGAAACUGGGGAACUUGAAUGCAGAAGAAGAAAGUGGAAUUCCAAGUGUAGCGGUGAAAUGGGUAAAAGAUUUUGGAAGAACACCAGUGGCGAAGGCGACUUUUCUGGUCUGUAACUGACACUGAA